rnacentral:rRNA from 1 species
UACGUAGGGUGCAAGCGUUAAUCGGAAUUACUGGGCGUAAAGCGUGCGCAGGCGGUUAUGUAAGACAGAUGUGAAAUGCCCGGGCUUAACCUGGGAACUGCAUUUGUGACUGCAUGGCUAGAGUUUGGCAGAGGGGGGUAGAAUUCCACGUGUAGCAGUGAAAUGCGUAGAUAUGUGGAGGAACACCGAUGGCGAAGGCAGCCCCCUGGGUCAAGACUGACGCUCAUGCACGAAAGCGUGGGGAACAAACAGG